GGCAGCAGCUAAGAAUAUUCCGCAAUGGACGAAAGUCUGACGGAGCGACGCCGCGUGGAUGAUGAAGGCCGGAAGGUUGUAAAAUCCUUUUAUGACUGAGGAAUAAGUGAAGUGAGAGAAACGCUUCAUGGUGACUGUAGGUCAUGAAUAAGCAACGGCUAAUUACGUGCCAGCAGCCGCGGUAACACGUAAGUUGCGAGCGUUGUUCGGAAUUAUUGGGCGUAAAGGGUAUGUAGGCGGUUCUGCAAGUCUGGUGUGAAAUGCCGGGGCUCAACCCCGGAACUGCGUUGGAAACUGCAGGACUUGAAUCGCUGAGGGGCAGCCAGAAUUCCAGGUGUAGGGGUGAAAUCUGUAGAUAUCUGGAAGAAUACCAAUGGCGAAGGCAGGCUGCCAGCAGAUGAUUGACGCUGAGGUACGAAGGUGCGGGGAGCAAACAGGAUUAGAUACCCUGGUAGUCCGCACAGUCAACUAUGUACACUGGGUGUCCGUUCAUGAGAAUGGGUGCCGAAGCAAACGCGAUAAGUGUACCGCCUGGGGAGUAUGCCCGCAAGGGUGAAACUCAAAGGAAUUGACGG
rnacentral:rRNA from 1 species